GAACGCUGGCGGCGUGCCUAACACAUGCAAGUCGAACGGAGAUUAACGCUGAUGAAGCUUCGGCAGAAUCUGUAAAUCUUAGUGGCGGACGGGUGAGUAACGCGUGGGCAACCUGCCUCAUACUGGGGGGAUAACAGCUGGAAACGACUGUUAAUACCGCAUAAGCGCACAGUGUCGCAUGACACAGUGUGAAAAACUCCGGUGGUAUGAGAUGGGCCCGCGUCAGAUUAGCCAGUUGGCGGGGUAACGGCCCACCAAAGCGACGAUCUGUAGCCGGCCUGAGAGGGCGGACGGCCACAUUGGGACUGAGACACGGCCCAAACUCCUACGGGAGGCAGCAGUGGGGGAUAUUGCACAAUGGAGGAAACUCUGAUGCAGCGACGCCGCGUGAGUGAAGAAGUAUUUCGGUAUGUAAAGCUCUAUCAGCAGGGAAGAAAGGCUCGCAAGAGAGAUGACGGUACCUGACUAAGAAGCCCCGGCUAACUACGUGCCAGCCGCUGC
rnacentral:rRNA from 1 species